rnacentral:rRNA from 1 species
UCCUGCCGGAGGCCAUUGCUAUCGGAGUCCGAUUUAGCCAUGCUAGUCGUGCGAGUUCAGACUCGCGGCACCGAGCUCAGUAACACGUGGCCAAACUACCCUACAGAGACGGACACCCUCGGGAAACUGAGGUUAACCCGUCAUACCGAUCUCAGGCUUGAAUCGCAGAGAUCACAAAACGCCCCGGCGCUGUAGGAUGUGGCUGCGGUUGAUUAGGUUGACGGUGGGGUAACGGCCCACCGUGCCCAUAAUCAGUACAGGUUGUGAGAGCAAGAACCUGGAGACGGAAUCUGAGACAAGAUUCCGGGCCCUACGGGGCGCAGCAGGCGCGAAACCUUUACACUGCACGCACGUGCGAUAAGGGGACUCCGAGUGCGAGGGCGUAUCGUCCUCGCUUUCGUGUACCGUAGGGUGGUACACCAACAAGGGCUGGGCAAGACCGGUGCCAGCCGCCGCGGUAAUACCGGCAGCUCAAGUGAUGUCCCAUAUUAUUGGGCCUAAAGCGUCCGUAGCUGGCCGACCAAGUCUCCCGGGAAAUCCACCCGCCCAACGGGUGGGCGUCCGGUAGAAACUGGCCGGCUUGGAACCGGAAGGCUCAGAGAGUACGUCCGGGGUAGGAGUGAAAUCCCGUAAUCCCGGACGGACUACCGAUGGCGAAAGCACUCUGAGAAGACGACUUCGACAGUGAGGGACGAAAGCUCGGGUCUCAAACCGGAUUAGAUACCCGGGUAGUCCGAGCUGUAAACGAUGCUCGUUAGGUGUGGCACCCACUACGAGUGGGUGCUGCGCCGUAGGGAAGCCGCUAAACGAGCCGCCUGGGAAGUACGUCCGCAAGGAUGAAACUUAAAGGAAUUGGCGGGGGAGCACUACAACCGGAGGAGCCUGCGGUUUAAUUGGACUCAACGCCGGACAUCUCACCAGCCCCGACAUCAGUAAUGACAGUCAUGUUGACGACAUCCACUCGAGCUGAUGAGAGGAGGUGCAUGGCCGCCGUCAGCUCGUACCGUGAGGCAUCCUGUUAAGUCAGGCAACGAGCGAGAUCCACGUUCCUAAUUGCCAGCACCACCGCACGGUGGGUGGGUACAUUAGGAAGACUGCCAGUGCUAAACUGGAGGAAGGAAUGGGCAACGGUAGGUCAGUAUGCCCCGAAUGGGCUGGGCAACACGCGGGCUACAAUGGUCAGGACAACGGGUUCCAACACUGAAAAGUGACGGUAAUCUCAGAAACUCGAUCGUAGUUCGGAUUGUGGGCUGUAACUCGCCCACAUGAAGCUGGAUUCGGUAGUAAUCGCGUGUCACAAGCGCGCGGUGAAUACGUCCCUGCUCCUUGUACACACCGCCCGUCA